rnacentral:rRNA from 1 species
CCUACGGGGGGCAGCAGUGGGGAAUAUUGGACAAUGGGGGCAACCCUGAUCCAGCCAUGCCGCGUGUGUGAAGAAGGCCCUCGGGUUGUAAAGCACUUUCAGUGAGGAAGAACGCCUGGUGGUUAAUACCCAUCAGGAAAGACAUCACUCACAGAAGAAGCACCGGCUAACUCCGUGCCAGCAGCCGCGGUAAUACGGAGGGUGCGAGCGUUAAUCGGAAUUACUGGGCGUAAAGCGCGCGUAGGUGGCUUGAUAAGCCGGUUGUGAAAGCCCCGGGCUCAACCUGGGAACGGCAUCCGGAACUGUCAAGCUAGAGUGCAGGAGAGGAAGGUAGAAUUCCCGGUGUAGCGGUGAAAUGCGUAGAGCUCGGGAGGAAUACCAGUGGCGAAGGCGGCCUUCUGGACUGACACUGACACUGAGGUGCGAAAGCGUGGGUAGCAAACAGGAUUAGAUACCCCGGUAGUC